CAAGUACUCCCUCUGUCCUGAAAUAAGUGACUCAAAAGUGACUCGAAUUUGUACUAAAGUAGUACAAACUCGAGUCACUUUUGAGUCACUUAUUUUGGAACGGAGGGAGUAGUAU
rnacentral:pre_miRNA from 1 species